ACGUAGGUGGCAAGCGUUGUCCGGAAUUACUGGGUGUAAAGGGAGCGCAGGCGGAAGGACAAGUUGGAAGUGAAACCCACGGGCUCAACCCGUGAACUGCUUUCAAAACUGUUUUUCUUGAGUGGUGUAGAGGUAGGCGGAAUUCCCGGUGUAGCGGUGGAAUGCGUAGAUAUCGGGAGGAACACCAGUGGCGAAGGCGGCCUACUGGGCACUAACUGACGCUGAGGCUCGAAAGCAUGGGUAGCAAACAG
rnacentral:rRNA from 1 species